rnacentral:rRNA from 1 species
CUUGACUGCGAGCGUGACGGCGCGAGCAGGUGCGAAAGCAGGUCAUAGUGAUCCGGUGGUUCUGAAUGGAAGGGCCAUCGCUCAACGGAUAAAAGGUACUCCGGGGAUAACAGGCUGAUACCGCCCAAGAGUUCAUAUCGACGGCGGUGUUUGGCACCUCGAUGUCGGCUCAUCACAUCCUGGGGCUGAAGUAGGUCCCAAGGGUAUGGCUGUUCGCCAUUUAAAGUGGUACGCGAGCUGGGUUUAGAACGUCGUGAGACAGUUCGGUCCCUAUCUGCCGUGGGCGCUGGAGAACUGAGGGGGGCUGCUCCUAGUACGAGAGGACCGGAGUGGACGCAUCACUGGUGUUCGGGUUGUCAUGCCAAUGGCACUGCCCGGUAGCUAAAUGCGGAAGAGAUAAGUGCUGAAAGCAUCUAAGCACGAAACUUGCCCCGAGAUGAGUUCUCCCUGAGACUUUAGGUCUCCUGAAGGAACGUUGAAGACGACGACGUUGAUAGGCCGGGUGUGUAAGCGCAGCGAUGCGUUGAGCUAACCGGUACUAAUGAACCGUGAGGCUUAACCUU